CAACAUUUGCUUUCUGUGUGUUCAUUUAUUGAAAGUUGCUACUUAGUAUGAGUCCUCAUUUAUCAAUAUUGCUUUAUACGGAUCUAGAGGGUAAACUAUGCCGUAUAUGUGAAGCAUGGUCUUUGGUGACCUACCUGAUGGACCUGAGGGUCAAUUUUAUUCAAUCUAAUAUCGAGAUGAGAAACAAUACAAACAUAUAUUUUUCUUCAAGGACGAGAUCUAUGAUAUGAUGCAAAAGAGAAUAAGAGCUGAGAUCUAAAAGUCAAUAAACUAAACUAUUUGACCAGGCAAAUUUAUUUAUGAGAUAUUUAAUUAAAUAUCUGGUUGUUCCAGAAGAUUCCAAGUAUAGAUGCUGUUCCAUCUUUUGAUGGUUUCCUCUGGACAUCUAGGAAGCCCCUCCAUAGCCAAAACAUGUGCAUCUGGGAUCUCUAGCCACAUCAUAAUUUCUGCUGCAUGUAAUCUGGGUUGCACCAGAGGGCUAUUGCAGUAGAAUGGGAAAGCAGGAAGCAAAGGUUUGAUAUUUCUAUCAGGUUUUUUUAGUAGGUGAUUGAAUGAAUGUGGAAUAUCAUGCAUUUACUGCAAAUCAUGGGAAAAGUUGGGUACCGUAAAAUUGCUAUAUGAGUCUUGUUUGGUGUUACCUGUUUAUCAGAUGUAUAUAUUUUGUGUUAUGGUGUUCUAAGGGCAUUAUCUUGUUAAUAUUAGGAGUCUGGUUGAUGGAAGGCUGUAAUUAGAUAAUCUGGUAGUCUCGUUAGUGUUUCUCUGUGCACCAUUUGAGUUGACACCAUAUUGGUGUGUUGGAGCUUGCUCCUAAAUAAAGGAGUUUAAGUAGGGGCCAGUGUUGCAAAAUGAAUCUGUUGGUGGCCAACUAUUACAAGUGGAGACCCACUUAUGCGUGAGAUGAGGCAUCCAUGAGCUGGCCAACUAUUACAGGUGGUUGGGCUGGUGGCUGCAUCUUGUGGCAGGCCAGAGUUCCUCUAGUUGGUUGACUCAUGAGUCUCUCUCCUUUUAACUGUGGGCCUCAUGUUUUUUCCCUUUGCUUUCCUCCUGUCUCUCUCUCCCCC
rnacentral:lncRNA from 1 species